rnacentral:sRNA from 1 species
GCUGGGUGGGGUGGCCCACACCUGUAAUCACAGCGGCUUGGGAAGCUAAGGCAGGAGGAUCUCUAGUUCAAAGCCAGCCUCAACAAAAGCAAGGUGCUAAGCAACUCAGUGAGACCUUGUCUCUA